rnacentral:rRNA from 1 species
CAGCAGCCGCGGUAAUACAGAGGGUGCAAGCGUUAAUCGGAAUUACUGGGCGUAAAGCGCGCGUAGGUGGUUUGUUAAGUUGGAUGUGAAAGCCCCGGGCUCAACCUGGGAACUGCAUCCAAAACUGGCAAGCUAGAGUACGGUAGAGGGUGGUGGAAUUUCCUGUGUAGCGGUGAAAUGCGUAGAUAUAGGAAGGAACACCAGUGGCGAAGGCGACCACCUGGACUGAUACUGACACUGAGGUGCGAAAGCCUGGGGAGCAAACAGGAUUAGAUACCCCAGUAGUCCCUGUCUCUUAUAC